UACGUAGGGUGCGAGCGUUAAUCGGAAUUACUGGGCGUAAAGAGCGCGCAGGCGGUCGUUCAAGUCGCGUGUGAAAGCCCCCGGCUCAACUGGGGAGGGUCACGCGAUACUGAUCGACUCGAAGGCAGGAGAGGGUAGUGGAAUUCCCGGUGUAGUGGUGAAAUGCGUAGAUAUCGGGAGGAACACCAGUGGCGAAGGCGACUACCUGGCCUGUUCUUGACGCUGAGGCGCGAAGCUAGGGAGCAACGGG
rnacentral:rRNA from 1 species